CAGUUCCGCUUAUUCAAAUGAAUGGGUUUGAGUGUCCUUAAAUCUGUUUAAGGACACUCAAACUCAUUCAUUUGAAUAAGCUUAUGUGC